UGUAGGCGCAGAGACAUUUGGAAUCAAUGAGAAGACAGGCAUCUGUAACUCACUCAAAAAUAAUAAGUAAACAAUCAGAACCUCCAUUUAAACUGGAGUGAAGUGGAAGAAUUGAAUAGGGUGCUAGAGAAACAAUUGAGAAAAGAGGGGAGAGCAUCCAGGUGGAGUCAGUGAAGACGUCGUCCAUGAAGUUCUUUCUAUGUGGUUCACGUCAUGAACAAAUUUGUUUUUGUGUGUGUUCAAGUUCAACUGUUCUAAUAUAUUAUUUUAUAAAAUAUACACAAUCUUAAAUCUACC